rnacentral:rRNA from 1 species
GGGUGAGUAACGCGUGGGCAACUUGCCCUGUACCGGGGGACAACAGCCAGAAAUGGCUGCUAAUACCGCAUAAGCCUGCUGUGCCGCAUGGCACAGCAGGGAAAACCACGGUGGUACAGGAUGGGCCCGCGUCUGAUUAGUUAGUUGGCAGGGUAACGGCCUACCAAGACAACGAUCAGUAGCCGGCUUGAGAGAGUGGACGGCCACAUUGGGACUGAGACACGGCCCAGACUCCUGCGGGAGGCAGCAGUGGGGAAUAUUGCACAAUGGGGGGAACCCUGAUGCAGCAAUGCCGCGUGGGUGAAGAAGCACUCCGGUGCGUAAAGCCCUGUCAGCAGGGAAGAAAAUGACAGUACCUGGACAAGAAGCCCCGGCUAACUACGUGCCAGCAGCCGCGGUAAUACGUAGGGGGCAAGCGUUAUCCGGAUUUACUGGGUGUAAAGGGAGCGCAGGCGGCGUGGCAAGUCAGAUGUGAAAACCCGGGGCCCAACCCCGGGAGUGCAUUUGAAACUGCCAUGCUGGAGUGCCGGAGAGGUAAGCGGAAUUCCUAGUGUAGCGGUGAAAUGCGUAGAUAUUAGGAGGAACACCAGUGGCGGAGGCGGCUUACUGGACGGUAACUGACGCUGAGGCUCGAAAGCGUGGGGAGCAAACAGGAUUAGAUACCCUGGUAGUCCACGCCGUAA